CGCACCUUGCGCCUUUUGGUAUUCCGAAAGGCAUGCCUGUUUGAGUGUCAUGAAAUCUCAAUCCCCCCGGGUUUUACGACCUGGCGGUGGACUUGGACUUGGGCGUCUGCCGGUGAUGAGCCGGCUCGCCUCAAAUGGCUUAGUGGGAUUAGCAUUCCUCAAUGCCUGACGUGAUAAGUUUCGUCAAGGUUUGGGUGCGACGUCCGCUUACAACCCGCCCUCGGGCAAUACACUUUUUGCUUGACCUCAAAUCAGGUAGGACUACCCGCUGAACUUAA
rnacentral:misc_RNA from 1 species